rnacentral:rRNA from 1 species
AGUGAACGCUGGCGGUAGGCCUAACACAUGCAAGUCGAACGGCAGCACAGGAGAGCUUGCUCUCUGGGUGGCGAGUGGCGGACGGGUGAGGAAUACAUCGGAAUCUACUUUUUCGUGGGGGAUAACGUAGGGAAACUUACGCUAAUACCGCAUACGACCUACGGGUGAAAGCAGGGGACCUUCGGGCCUUGCGCGAUUGAAUGAGCCGAUGUCGGAUUAGCUAGUUGGCGGGGUAAAGGCCCACCAAGGCGACGAUCCGUAGCUGGUCUGAGAGGAUGAUCAGCCACACUGGAAUUGAGACACGGGCCAGACUCCUACGGGAGGCAGCAGUGGGGAAUAUUGGACAAUGGGCGCAAGCCUGAUCCAGCCAUACCGCGUGGGUGAAGAAGGCCUUCGGGUUGUAAAGCCCUUUUGUUGGGAAAGAAAUCCAUCUGGUUAAUACCCGGGUGGGAUGACGGUACCCAAAGAAUAAGCACCGGCUAACUUCGUGCCAGCCGCCGCAGUAA